rnacentral:rRNA from 1 species
GACGAACGCUGGCGGCGUGCCUAAUACAUGCAAGCCGAGCGAAUGGAUGGGAGCUUGCUCCCUGAAGUUAGCGGCGGACGGGUGAGUAACACGUGGGCAACCUGCCUGUAAGACUGGGAUAACUUCGGGAAACCGGAGCUAAUACCGGAUACAUUCUUUCUUCGCCUGAAGAAAGAUGGAAAGAUGGUUUCGGCUAUCACUUACAGAUGGGCCCGCGGCGCAUUAGCUAGUUGGUGAGGUAACGGCUCACCAAGGCAACGCUGCGUAGCCGACCUGGGAGGGUGAUCGGCCACACUGGGACUGAGACACGGCCCAGACUCCUACGGGAGGCAGCAGUAGGGAAUCUUCCGGAAUGGACGAAAGUCUGACGGAGCAACGCCGCGUGAGCGAAGAAGGCCUUCGGGUCGUAAAGCUCUGUUGUUAGGGAAGAACAAGUACCAGAGUAACUGCUGGUACCUUGACGGUACCUAACCAGAAAGCCACGGCUAACUACGUGCCAGCCGCCGCAGUAAAAC